GAACACGGGUUCCCGUACGAUCACCGAAGUUAGGCAACGUCGAGCCUGGCCAAUACCAAGAUGGGUGACCGCUUGGGAAUACCAGGUGAUGUAAG